CCUAACCCCCUUUACAGUUAGCCCAUUUUUUUCUGGCCCUCGUCUUAAGGGGCUUUUCUAAAGCCCCAAAAGCCCCAAAAGCCCCAAAAAAGGGGUUGGGAUUGAAUCAGGGCCGGGUCAACCCCCUGACCCCAGAACUUCAGUUUCUUUUGUGCAAACGCUGAACCAUUCCCAUUUAUUUCUGUCUGAAGAAACGCUACGAGCUCAACGGCACGACAGCUUCAACCUCAAAAUUUGCAAGAAGGGCAAAACCUAAUUCGACCAUUCUCUCAAUCAUGCUCUUGCUUGUCGAUUUCACACGGUCCAUUCCAUUUUGGAGUCUCAAUGACAGAGUAAAAUUGUUAACAUUGUCAGAGUUAACAUUGAUCAUACCAACAAGCUUGUGCUUCUUUAUGUCAGGCCACCCUCUGCUUUCUACUCCUUGGAUGCUGCAGGGUAUAUCUUUUCCAAUGAUUUAUUGAUGCUAUGGAAAAGUACAGUAUACACCUUAUUAAUUCAGUGAUGGAAAGAGCUGAAGCCACAUGUAGAAAUUUGAAGGCUACAAAUGUGAACAUGGAGAGGGUAGUCGGGGUAGGAGAUGCGAAGGAUGUAAAUUUGAUCAUGUGCAAUGGUUUAAUGAACAUUAUGUUUCAGGUAGCAUAUUUUCUCUCAUAAACAAGCUUGUUAUUGGAAGGAAAGUUG